CAUUAGACACAUGGGUAGGCUGAUCACAUUCACCUAAAACCCUCUUUAAUCCGUACACCCACUACAUCAUUUUGAGUAUUAUUGUAUUAUUGCAAUGACAAUUUACAAGAAUAAGCAUUACUAGAUGUGCACCCACUACAAGAAUAAGCAUUUCUGAUUAAAUUAUUAUUUUUGAUAAACCCAUUUAGAAUCUGAUCUGGGUUUUGUCUGGAUUCCAGGGUAAAAACUGUGAAACUUAAAGGUUGGUUUGAUCUGGGUUUUCCAAGUUCUGCAUGAAAGUGUUGGCUGCUGCUGCUCCGCUCCCACAACGCAUUUUUUACACAUCGCAUCGUCGAUCCGAUCCCCGCUCCAAUCCGCCAAACAGAUUUUGGGGCAGAGGAUCCGCCCUGCCACAUCGGCAAUGAGGGGUUUCGUAUCUUUGGCGAAAGAGAUGGUGGCAACCACUAACAACAAAACAACAAUCUCCUUAGAUAGAGGAGAAAGAACCGAAAGGUGAGGAAGAAAAGAAAGGAAAGGAGGAAAGAGAGCUUUGCGCAUGCAAAUGUGCUUCUUAGGGAUGUUGGAGCUGGGAAAUCAAGUCUAGUGUUGCGCUUUGUGAAAGAACAAUUCAUUGAAUUUCAGGUUUGUUCUAUAUCUUUCAAAGGACGCAUUUUCUUUUUUAUUCAUACCUUUACUUUUAUAGUCUGUUAUUACAAGAAUCAAUUGCGACCCUUAGUUGGUGGUAUUAUCUUUACAACACAUUCAAUUCAGCGAAUAAAAUCGCAAUUGCUAUUUGUUCUGUCAACUAGACUACUAGAGUAGUACUAUAGAAAUAUCUGGUGAAAGCAAUGAAGAAAUCACUAUGAUUGAUCUGCAAAGAAGCUCUAAUAAGUUACAAGAGAGUAGCAAUGUAAAUUGAACUGCUUAUUUUAUGGAUCAAUUCACCUAUCUCUUGCUUUUUCUUUCA